UUGAACGCUGGCGGCGUGCUUAACACAUGCAAGUCGUGCGGUAACAGGCGUAGCAAUACGUGCUGACGAGCGGCGAACGGGUGCGUAAUACAUGGGAAUCUGCCCUUUAGUGGGGAAUAACCCGGCGAAAGCCGGGCUAAUGCCGCAUAAGAUCUUCGGAUGAAAGCGGGGGAUCGUAAGACCUCGCGCUGUUGGAUGAGCCCAUGUCGGAUUAGCUAGUGGUGAGGUAACGGCUCACCAAGGCGACGAUCCGUAGCUGGUCUGAGAGGACGGCCAGCCACACUGGGACUGAGACACGGCCCAGACUCCUACGGGAGGCAGCAGUGGGAAUAUUGGACAAUGGGCGCAAGCCUGAUCCAGCGAUGCCGCGUGUGUGAAGAAGGCCUGCGGGUUGUAAAGCACUUUCAGUAGGGAAGAAAAGCCGAGUGCUAAUAUCACUCGGUCUUG
rnacentral:rRNA from 1 species